GAGGGGGGGGGGGGGAUGGUUAGUCAUUUUGCAAUGCACCUGAUACCUGAAACACACUUCAAGAUAUUCAACACUCUACUCCCAUCUGGCAGCUAAAGUGGAAAGUGCACCCCGCCGAUUUCGUCACGUUUCAUGUGUCAGGUGAACCGACUGUGGAUCAAACUCCUGGCCUGGAAAUAAUGUGCAUCAAUAAAGUACUUCAUCUUUUUUUUCUUUGUUUUUAACAAAAUCUACUCGUUCUUUUUUCGUUCUGACAAAGAAACUAAAAAUGUUCCAUUGAAAUUGGACCAUUCUGAGUCAAAUAAGGCUGAAAAUAGUCCAGGGAGUCAAAGAAACGUGCCCUCGUAUUGCGUGCAUAUAAAUGUUGCGUUCUUAAUUGUACUUAGGGGCAGAAAAAUGUUGUACAAUAGGAAAAGUUGUAUUCAAAAAUGAUUUGAAGACAAUAAGAACACGCAUGUUUUCCCUUUCUAAUGCAUUCUAAGUCAUAUAUAAACAUAAAAUAAAAGUUAGAUAACGAUGGGAGUCGUGAUGUCAUUAUUGUGUCCUUUAAAGGCCGCUAAAAAAACACCCAAAGAGCGCCAACAAUACUCCAUAACAUAAAUAUUAACCAAGUAUUAGCAAUAUUGGUAUUUUAAGCGCUAACGCUGAGGAACUAUAGCAGCUGACUAGCAUAAGCUGCUAUAUUGACAAUCGAUUGUGGACAUAAACCGCUAAGUUGGUCAACUUUGACGUUCAACUCAGACCUGGAGAUGGCAAGAAAGACACGAAAAAUUAUUCUUUCAGUUUUUUUAAAACUUGCGUUAGGAUCAUGAAUAAUUCUUCAUCUAAACCAAAUAUACAAACAUCCCAUCGGUCUGCAUCCCAGUGAGAGCCGACAUUGUCCAGUAAGUGAUUGUUUCAUUAUGUUUGUUGUCUGCCAUGAUUGGUAGCGUAGUGCUUAAAAUGAGCAAAACACGUAAAUGUGACAUGUUAUUAUGAACGUGACAAUUGUGUACAGUACAGCGUGCAUAUUAAAAAAUAGUGGUUUUUAAAGUGCUUUGUAGGCGGAAUAGAGCGACUCCAACUGGCUUUGUUGGUAGUUGACCUUUGCGAGCGUUUAUUUACCAGUAAGAAUGUGUAAAAAAAGAAAAACACAUUUGUUCUUGUCUUACAUGAAUUGAUUAACUUGACCCCGACUUAAACAAGUUGAAAAACUUAUUGGGGUGUUACCAUUUAGUGGUCAAUUGUAUGGAAUAUGUACUGAACUGUGCAUUCUACUAAUAAAAGUAUCAAUCAAUCAAUCAAUUACAUAAGGAUGAUGAAUAAUAGGCAAAAUUACUGUCUAUUAAACAAGACGAGAAGCAAGGAAUUAAACAGAGACAGAAUUCAAUUUGGCUCCUUUGAGGAGAGACGUCUGGACUGCACUCUUUAUACGGUCUCACCAUGCUGGGGGGAAAGAUCGAACGCCUCCUCUUUUAUUUGGACUUUCCCGGAUUCCAUGGCAACAACUCUUUCUAAGGGACGGGGGGUCGUAAACAGCCGUCGCCUUUCAUUACAAACAGCUCAAAGAAAAUGUCGGUACAAAGAAAAGGUCGUAAAAAAGUUCAAAGAAGAGGUCCCUGGGGAAAAAAAUUAUGUGUGUAUAAAUGAUAUGCACACAUUUAGCUGUAAAAAUAUGUAUGUUUGGGUCCCUUUUUUUCAGGAACACUAAUACCAAAAGUCACAAUGUCUGAUUGAAUUCUAAAAACGUUAUGACAGACCACCUCAAAUAAACCGAAUGGAAUUUUACAGGUUUUUUUUACUGAAUGGGACACCCAAAAUGUACAUGAAAAUCAAGAAAAAGUGGGAUUUUCAAUAUUAACUAUGCACUAUAAAAAACUGAAUAUUAACAACAGAUGAACAUCGCUCCUCUUUCACUUCUCAGACCAGCUCCUCCAUAGUUUUGUAUAUUUUGCAACGAAGUAAAACACAACACAAAUGUAACAAACAGCAAAACAUGAAUGCAAAGUGCAAUAAACACCUACAAUAUGAUAUAUUAUCACUUUUAUGCUGAACUUUGUUGUAAAAAUCUGCUUUCUCAUCCGUUUCUAACACGGGCGUUUCAGGCUGGCUGCUCUGAAAACAACGUAUGUCAGGUUGACAUCUAUUAAACAAGACAAGAAGCAAGGAAUUCAACAGAGACAGAAUAAAAUUUGGCUCAAUGAGGAGAAACGCGUAGACCUGUACCCUGGUACGGUCUCACCACGCUCUGACGAAAGAUUGUGCGCCUCCUCUGUAAGACUUAGACCUUGGAAAAUCUUUAUUGUCCCCGAGAGGCAAUUUGGUUUGCAGUAGUAGUCAUUAAAAACCAGGUUCAACAGGAAAAACAAGGUACAACAGUAAAAAAGGGGCGUACCUACAUCCUGAGGGCAAGAGUCUAAACUCUAUGAGUUUAGACUUUUUCUGAUGACAUGGCAACAGCUGUUUCUAAAGGAAGGGGGUUGUAAACAGCCGCAGCCUUUGGUCACAAAACAGUUCAAAGAAAAGGUGCCAUUAGGGGGGUCGGGUCCUGCUUCCUCUGUCAAGAGUUAUUUGGUAACAAACCCCAAGAUGCAGAAACAGAGGCAGGCAUUGAACAGGAAAACAUGAUUUAAUUAAAAUAUUACAAAAACAACAAACCAAAGGGGUACAACCAAAAGUGCGCACAAGGCGGGUAACAAACUAAGGGAGCUAGCAUGGGAGCUAGAAAAUAAAAGGAGCUUAACAUGGAAGUUAGCAAAAACAAAAAGGGUCCAGCGAGGAAGCUAGCGGGCAGCGAGCAGGAAAACAGAAAUCGUAACGUUUAGUACAAAACAAACUGGAAGCAGGGAACAAAGAACAGUACGCUACAAACAUCGAACAGGUAUAGCUUACCGCUACGCUGCAAAUACAAGACACGGCACGACACAACAGGAGCGACAUCGACAAAACGAUAAUCCAGCAACUGACUGGAGGACAAAUACAGACUCAAAUAGAAGCGGGCUGAUUGACACCAGGUGUGGCCAGGUGCCAAUCAGCUGUAUCUGAGGUGAAAACAGCACACAGGGAAACUAAAAUCAGGAAAUACUAAACACACACAGAGGAAAAACUAAAACACAGUGACAAACCCCAAGAUGCAGAGACGGAGGCAGGCAUUGAACAGGAAAACAUGAUUGAAUUAAAAUAUUACUACAAGAACAAACCAAGGGGGUACAACCAAAAGUGCGCACGAGGCGGAUAACAAACUAAGGGAGCUAGCAUGGGAGCUAGAAAAUAAAAGGAGCUUAACAUGGAAGCUAGCAAAAACAAAAUACAAGACACGGCACAACACGACAGGAGCGACAUCGACAAAACAAUAAUCCAGCAACUGACUGGAGUACAAAUACAGACUCAAAUACAAGCGGGCUGAUUGACACCAGGUGUGGCCAGGUGCCAAUCAGUCGCAUCUGAGGGGAAAACAGCACACAGGGAAACUAAAAACAGGAAAUACUAAACACACAUAGAGGAACAACUAAAACACAAACAAACUGUCAGUGGCAGGCCUAACAUCCUCCAUGCUUUGUAAAUCUCGGGCCAAGACAAAAUCCUCCUGAGGAUUAGGAUACAUGAAAGAAACCAACACCUUCAUGUCGCUUCCCAUCCUACACAGAGGAGUUUUACAAGACUUUUGCUUGGCAAGAUCACAGACAGAUUUUGUCUGCUAGCCGGGAACUCAUUGAAACACAAAGUUUUGUGAUAACUUGGAAAUAAUUAUUCUGAAAAUGUAGUUUACCAUUAAAAAAAACUCCUUUAAGACUCAAAAGUGCAGAUUUCAACCAUUGAAAAACUUUCUAUAGUUCAAAGUCAUUUGAAAACAAGAACUGCACGUGUUAAUGGCGGCUACAGUUUGGAUGGUAAACAUCUACAAAAAAAUCAUUUACAACGUCCGUCGGGCCGGAUUGAAAAGCUUAAUGUGUAUUUUGCCCUGGUAUGACUUGUCCAGGGUGUACACCGCCUUCCGCUUGAUAUCAUCCAUUACGGAUAGGUUGAUUGGCAACACUAAACGGGCCCUAGUGUGUGAAUGUUGUCUGCUAUCUGUGAUGAGGUGGCGACUUGUCCAUGGUGUACACCGCCUUCCGCUUGAUUGUAGCUGAGAUAGGCACCAGCACCCCCGCAACCCCAAACGGGACAAUCGGUAGAAAAUGGAUGGAUGGAUGGAUGGAUUGGCAACACUAAAUGCACCGUAGUGUGUGAAUGUUGUCUGCUAUCUGUGAUGAGGUGGCGACUUGUCCAGGGUGUACGCCGCCUUCCGUCCGAAUGCAGCCGAUAAGCUCCAGCACCCUGGCGACCCCAAACGGGACAAUCGGUAGAAAAUGGAUGGAUGGAUGGAUGGAUUGGCAACACUAAAUGCACCGUAGUGUGUGAAUGUUGUCUGUCUAUCUGUGUUGGCCCUGUGAUGAGGUGGCGACUUGUCCAGGGUGUACACCGCCUUCCACUUGAUUGUAGCUGAGAUAGGCUCCAGCACCCCCGCGACCCCAAACGGGACAAUCGGUAGAAAAUGGAUGGACGGAUGGAUGGAGGAUUGGCAACACUAAAUGCACCGUAGUGUGUGAAUGUUGUCUGUCUAUCUGUGUUGGCCCUGUGAUGGGGUGGCGACUUGUCCAGGGUGUACGCCACCUUCCGUCCGAAUGCAGCCGAGAUAAGCUCCAGCACCCCCGCGACCCCAAACGGGACAAUCGGUAGAAAAUGGAUGGAUGGAUGGAGGAUUGGCAACACUAAAUGGGCCCUAGUGUGUGAAUGUUGUCUGCUAUCUGUGAUGAGGUGGCGACUUGUCCAGAGUGUACGCGGCCUUCCGCUUGAUUGUAGCUGAGAUAGGCACCAGCACCCCCGCAACCCCAAACGGGACAAUCGGUAGAAAUGGAUGGAUGGAUGGAGGAUUGGCAACACUAAAUGCACCGUAGUGUGUGAAUGUUGUCUGUCUAUCUGUGUUGGCCCUGUGAUGAGGUGGCGACUUGUCCAGGGUGUACGCCGCCUUCCGCUUGAUUGUAGCUGAGAUAGGCACCAGCGACCCCGAAGGGAAUAAGCGGUAGAAAAUGGAUGGAUGGUUUAAAUAUUAUCCACUACGGAUAGGUUGAUUGGAAACACUAAACGGGCCCUAGUGUGUGAAUGUUGUCUGCUAUCUGUGAUGAGGUGGCGACUUGUCCAGGGUGUACACCGCCUUCCGCCCCAAUGCAGCCGAGACAGGCUCCAGCACCCCGGCGACCAAAAACGGGACAAUCGGUAGAAAAUGGAUGGAUGGAUGGAUGGAGGAUUGGCAACACUAAACGGGCCCUAGUGUGUGAAUGUUGUCUGCUAUCUGUGAUGAGGUGGCGACUUGUCCAGGGUGUAUGACGCCUUCUGCCCGAUUGUAUUCGAGAUAGGCUCCAGCACCCCGGCGACCCCAGAUGGGACGAUCGGUAGAAAAUGGAUGGAUGGAUGGAGGAUUGGCAACACUAAAUGCACUGUAGUGUGUGAAUGUUGUCUGUCUAUCUGUGUUGGCCCUGUGAUGAGGUGGCGACUUGUCCAGGGUGUACGCCGCCUUCCGCUUGAUUGUAGCCGAGAUAGGCUCAGGACCCCCCCCCACCCCCCCUUAUACGACCCCCAACGGGACAAUCGGUAGAAAAAUGGACGGACGGUGCAGACUUUUUCACUUGUAGUUCUCCGGUAGUGUGAAGUGAAGUGAAUUAUAUUUAUAUAGCGCUUUUCUCUAGUGACUAAAAGUGCUUUACAUAGUGAAACCCAAUAUCUAAGUUACAUUUAAACCAGUGUGGGUGGCACUGGGAGCAGGUGGGUAAAGUGUCUUGCCCAAGGAUACAACGGCAGUGACUAGGAUGGCGGAUGCGGGAAUCGAACCUGCAACCGUCAAGUUGCUGGCACGGCCACUCUACCAACCGAGCUAUACCGCCCCAGUAUGGCGGAAAAAAACAAACUACUGCAGAAAAUCCUUUUUUUAAAUAAAUCCUCCGAGGCCAGAAUCCCUGAGCCACUCUUUGAAAAUACUGCCAGGAAAUGUUCAAGAAAAUCACAUUUCUUUUAUUUCUUUCACUAUUUAGCAACUUUCCUGUGUCUUUUCCAGCCAGAAUUGAACGUAAUAUGUUUUUAUUGGCGUGUGUGUGUUCAAUAAGUGAGUUUAUUUUUAUAACCAUGUUUUCUAUCAGCACUCCAGUUGUACUUUGCUAGCAAAUAAACAUUUUCCAAUA